GGGUUGUGAGGUUAAGCGACUAAGCGUACACGGUGGAUGCCCUGGCAGUCAGAGGCGAUGAAGGACGUGCUAAUCUGCGAUAAGCGCCGGUAAGGUGAUAUGAACCGUUAUAACCGGCGAUUUCCGAAUGGGGAAACCCAGUGUGAUUCGUCACACUAUCAUUAACUGAAUCCAUAGGUUAAUGAGGCGAACCGGGGGAACUGAAACAUCUAAGUACCCCGAGGAAAAGAAAUCAACCGAGAUUCCCCCAGUAGCGGCGAGCGAACGGGGAGGAGCCCAGAGCCUGAAUCAGCAUGUGUGUUAGUGGAAGCGUCUGGAAAGGCGCGCGAUACAGGGUGACAGCCCCGUACACAAAAGCGCAUGUGCUGUGAGCUCGAUGAGUAGGGCGGGACACGUGGUAUCCUGUCUGAAUAUGGGGGGACCAUCCUCCAAGGCUAAAUACUCCUGACUGACCGAUAGUGAACCAGUACCGUGAGGGAAAGGCGAAAAGAACCCCGGCGAGGGGAGUGAAAAAGAACCUGAAACCGUGUACGUACAAGCAGUGGGAGCACCCUUUGGGGUGUGACUGCGUACCUUUUGUAUAAUGGGUCAGCGACUUAUAUUCUGUAGCAAGGUUAACCGUAUAGGGGAGCCGUAGGGAAACCGAGUCUUAACCGGGCGUUAAGUUGCAGGGUAUAGACCCGAAACCCGGUGAUCUAGCCAUGGGCAGGUUGAAGGUUGGGUAACACUAACUGGAGGACCGAACCGACUAAUGUUGAAAAAUUAGCGGAUGACCUGUGGCUGGGGGUGAAAGGCCAAUCAAACCGGGAGAUAGCUGGUUCUCCCCGAAAGCUAUUUAGGUAGCGCCUCGUGAAUUCAUCUCCGGGGGUAGAGCACUGUUUCGGCUAGGGGGCCAUCCCGGCUUACCAACCCGAUGCAAACUGCGAAUACCGGAGAAUGUUAUCACGGGAGACACACGGCGGGUGCUAACGUCCGUCGUGAAGAGGGAAACAACCCAGACCGCCAGCUAAGGUCCCAAAGUCAUGGUUAAGUGGGAAACGAUGUGGGAAGGCCCAGACAGCCAGGAUGUUGGCUUAGAAGCAGCCAUCAUUUAAAGAAAGCGUAAUAGCUCACUGGUCGAGUCGGCCUGCGCGGAAGAUGUAACGGGGCUAAACCAU
rnacentral:rRNA from 1 species